rnacentral:rRNA from 1 species
GACAGAGGGGGCAAGCGUUGCUCGGAAUUACUGGGCGUAAAGCGUGCGCAGGCGGCUUUGCAAGACAGAUGUGAAAUCCCCGGGCUUAACCUGGGAACUGCAUUUGUGACUGCAUGGCUAGAGUGCGGCAGAGGGGGAUGGAAUUCCGCGUGUAGCAGUGAAAUGCGUAGAUAUGCGGAGGAACACCGAUGGCGAAGGCAAUCCCCUGGGCCUGCACUGACGCUCAUGCACGAAAGCGUGGGGAGCAAACAGG